rnacentral:rRNA from 1 species
GGGGAAUAUUGGACAAUGGGCGCAAGCCUGAUCCAGCAAUGCCGCGUGAGUGAUGAAGGCCUUAGGGUUGUAAAGCUCUUUUACCCGGGAAGAUAAUGACUGUACCGGGAGAAUAAGCCCCGGCUAACUCCGUGCCAGCAGCCGCGGUAAUACGGAGGGGGCUAGCGUUGUUCGGAAUUACUGGGCGUAAAGCGCACGUAGGCGGCUUUGUAAGUUAGAGGUGAAAGCCCGGGGCUCAACCCCGGAAUUGCCUUUAAGACUGCAUCGCUUGAACGUCGGAGAGGUGAGUGGAAUUCCGAGUGUAGAGGUGAAAUUCGUAGAUAUUCGGAAGAACACCAGUGGCGAAGGCGGCUCACUGGACGACUGUUGACGCUGAGGUGCGAAAGCGUGGGGAGCAAACAGGA